GAAAGCCGAGAAGGCUGCGAAGGAGAGUAGUCGGGCUUUGACGGUUUCGACGUAUGUGGAAAUUCGCCGGAGCAUGGCUCGCUUGAUGGAGGAACUUCCUAAGCUGCGCACGUUGGCUCAGAAAAAGGAUGCGCAUGUGAUUCGAGAUUUGGUGGGUAAAAAUGUAUGGGAAUUUUGAUUCAGCCAAUGGUGAUUAGCCAAGAUGGAGAUGGUGUGUACGGAUGAAGUGUGUGAGAAUACCUCCAAAUUUAUGUCACGUUCUUAUCUAAUUGCUGGCUUUCUCUCCAAAGUCGACAGUUUCUUGUGGUCGAAAAAAGUCGGUAGUUUCUUGUGGUCGAAAAAAGUCCAUAGUUUCUUGGUUUUGGAAAAAUGGUGUGGAUUGAGCCUGAUUGUUACUGUUUACUGUGUGUCUAUCAUCGACGCACGAGAUGAACAAACAAGAGUGGUUCUUGUAGUAAAGGAACAAAACAAUCAUCGUCAACGAAAUUGCAGAAGCUACAAGGAACUAGACUAGGACAGAGUGGAAGCAAACGCGCUUGCCUAGAGGCGAGGCGAAACGAGACAACUGUAACCUCGGUAGAUAUAUUCCAUGAGAUCUUGCAUUUCCUCUUUAUAAUACAGCUUAUGUUCCGAGACCAUUAGCAUCAGAGUUGGGACUCUACGAAGUUAUGCGUUAUGUUCCGAAGCAGAUAGAGAACCCGUUCACAUGAAUUCUCAAGGGGUUGCAUAGAAUCUAACGAUGAGCUUCUCUACUUUGAUGACUUGUCAUGAAUUUUCUUCUUUUUUCUUUGGGUUUGCUUCUUCAGUUCCUUAGGUAAUUUUUUUCUGUCACACUUCACCAGUUCUGCAUUCUCGAAGAAAAUAAGAUGUUCUGAAAAGGGCUUCAUGUAUCUUCUUUUUGUUAAUUCCUUCUUGUCUAUAUUAUCAUUUCAUAUCUCAUGUUCAUGUUUUACCCUGAACUGACAUAACCUUCUAACAUUUAUCCCGCUAAUGAUGUUUACGCUGCACUUUUUGGUUACUGAUGUGGAUUCGCUUUGACAAUAAAAAGCAAAAAACGUAACCAACGUGACCAAAUCCAAAAGCUAAAUAGUGAGUUGCACAGCGUGAGAAUAUCAUCCCGCAACGCGAGAGCAUGAAUUGGCGUCGGCAUGGUUCUUCAGAUACCAUAAGAGUGUGCCCAACAUAUAGCCUUAGUAUAUAACAUGGCAACCAUAGUGUGACUGUGUGAACGUCUUGGACCUAUAGACACGCACACCUACACAAACAUAAAGGAAUUUGGGUCGUACCCUUUAAUAUUGAUUAUUAUCACCACUAUUAUCUCUAAAGACUUGUAACAACAAAGUUGCUUAACUUGUAUUCAUAUUUUGGUUUAAUUACAGGUUAAAGGGCUGUCCCCUGAAGAACUAGAAACACGUAGUGAUCUGGUUUUUGCACUGCCUGAGAGGAUACCAGAUGGGACAGAAACUGCAGCCAAAAAAGCUGGGGAAUGGGGAACUUCAACAUCUCAUAAAAAUAUCAAACUUGACUCAUCAGAUGGGAACUUUGACAGUGAGUUUUUCCAGCAAAACAGAAGAAUCGAGUCAGUUCAGGAAGGAGUAUCAAAUGCGGAAACUAAAACAGACAGCUGCUUUUGAUUCUCCUGCAGUCCAGCUCUGCUGUUAUUUUGAUUGAGUUGGUCACUUGCUCAGGAUGAAGGUCUAGAUAUCAUCUCGGAAGGUUUGGGUACUUUGAAAGAUUUGGCCCAUGAUAUGAAUGCGGUUGAUCGAUGCACAUAACUCUGGUUCAUUGUGUUAUUGGAAGAAUUCAAACUUUGAUCGUUGUUUCGAUAUGUUCAGGAAUUGGACCGACAACUCCCACUAAUUGGUGAGAUAGAAACAAAAGUGAGAUUUUCUUCUCUAACUAGAAUCCUAAUCUUUCCGGCGACACCGGUGAGAGAUUGUGUUUGUAACAUUUUAAGUUCAUUACUUAGUGAUGGAGUUUUGAUGCUUUUACAGGUGGACAAGGUUACAUCUGACAUAAAAAGUAACAAUGUUAGGCUCAAGGAAAAUCUAAACAAGGUGAGAUCGAGCUGGAAUUUCAUCUUUGACGUUAUUUUGCUUUGUAUUGUUCUGGGAAUCGCCUUCUAUCUUUACAAGUAUUCUCUCUGUCUUUUUACUGAGAAAACCUUAAAAUCUAGUCCCCAAAUGCUAAGAAGCUUAUAUUUGUGAAAUUGGUUUCAUGUUCCGGAAAAUAACUCAUAAGACUGUUUAUGCCACAUUUAUUUCACGGAGUUGUCUAAGAAUUGAUUUUGCGUGUUCUGAAUGCUUUAACAUACUUUUCUUUCCUUGAAUAAAUGAGAUGUUCAACUGUUUUAUUUACUACUGCGAUGAAGUUACUUUAAAAAGACUUCAGCAGCUUAUCGGAUCAUAUCUGAUGUGGUAUUACAUUCUUCCAUUUCAUAAGGCUUUGCUAGCUUGUAUCUCUUUAACAUCUUCCGUUCAAGUACAACGUUAAUUAUCUAAUCGGGUUUUGGCUACUUGAAGAUGAUUAUAUACAGUUUCUUGCUCACGGUGGUUCUUUCUCCCAACAAUGUGGAAAAUUUGUAGUUUAGAUUUUAUUUAUGUCUGUACUUGUCCUUCAAUGAAUUUAUUGAGCAUCAAUUUGCCUUAAAUAGUUUUACAGUGCAUUGUUCGAUCCAAA